rnacentral:rRNA from 1 species
UGCGGAAUUUUAGAUAAUGGCGGGAACUCUGAUCUAGCGACGCCGCGUGCAGGAAGAAGGUCUUCGGAUUGCAAACUGCUGUGGUAAGGGAAAAAUGCUAUGUAGAGUGGAAAGCUACAUAGAGGGAUGGUACCUUACUAGAAAGCCCCGGCUAACUACGUGCCAGCAGCCGCGGUAAUACGUAGGGGGCGAGCGUUACCCGGAAUCACUGGGCGUAAAGGGAGCGUAGGUGGCCUAACAUGUCAACUGUGAAAACCCGGAGC